rnacentral:rRNA from 1 species
AGAGUUUGAUCCUGGCUCAGAUUGAACGCUGGCGGCAUGCCUUACACAUGCAAGUCGAACGGCAGCACGGGGGCAACCCUGGUGGCGAGUGGCGAACGGGUGAGUAAUACAUCGGAACGUGUCCUGUAGUGGGGGAUAGCCCGGCGAAAGCCGGAUUAAUACCGCAUACGAUCUACGGAAAAAAAGCGGGGGAUCUUCGGACCUCGCGCUAUAGGGGCGGCCGAUGGCAGAUUAGCUAGUUGGUGGGGUAAAGGCCUACCAAGGCGACGAUCUGUAGCUGGUCUGAGAGGACGACCAGCCACACUGGGACUGAGACACGGCCCAGACUCCUACGGGAGGCAGCAGUGGGGAAUAUUGGACAAUGGGCGCAAGCCUGAUCCAGCCAUGCCGCGUGAGUGAUGAACGCCCUAGGGUUGUCAGCUCUUUCAACGGUGAAGAU